CAUCAUAUAUUCAUGCGAUUUUAAACAAGCAUCCUAGCAUGCAAUUUCUAUAAGAUCAAACACCCAUCAUGCAAUUUCAAGCAUAUAUUUCAUGAUCUUAAUACUUUAGAAUAUAUCAUGCAGUUGUAGGUGCUCAAGCAUUCAUGCGAUUUUAAUCAAGCAUCCUAGCAUGCGAUAUCUAUAAGAUCAAACUUCCAUCAUGCAAUUCAAGCAUAUAAUUUAUUUCAUGAUCUUAAGACUUUUAGUUUAUCAUGCUGUUCUAGGUGCUCAAACAUAGAUCGAUUUUAUAAAGAGAAAAUCUAAGGUGAUCAUGCAUUCAUAUUCGAUUUCAUAAAGAGAAAAUCUAAGGUGAUCAUGCAUACAAAUUCGAUUUCAUGUUUAAUCAAGUAUUAGGAUUUCAUAAUUCAUAUUAAUAUUAGCAAACAUCAAUCCAUAUGAAAAACAAGAUUACAAUCGAUUUUAGGUUGCAUGAAAAGUAGUUCAAAGAACAAUCUCAUAUUUUAUAAACGCAUGAAAAGUGGUCCAAACAACAAUUCAUGUUUUUAGGGUUUCAUAUUUGCAUGUGAAAAGUACUUUAAACAACAAUUUCAUAUUUCUAGGGUUUUACAAAUUCAUAUGAAAAGCACUUUGAUCAACAAUCACAUGUUCAAAAUCAUGGUUUUAGGUUUUAUAAAACAUGAAUCAAUUGUUUUUAGGGUUCAUGGUGUUUACCUCUUUAUCACCAAUUGGAUUCUGAAUGGUUUGGACCGGGAGCUAAAGACCUCGGUUUCUCAAGCUUCUGAAAAGAUCCGCGAUGAACAGUAACCGGCGAUGAACAGUGACGGCGGUGAACAGUGUUGACGAUGAACAGUAACGGAUGACCAGUAGCCGCCGAGAUUUUUAGGUUUAGGGUUUUUAGAAGUGAUUUUAGCUUUUAGGGUUUUUAGAGAAUCGUGCUGAUAACGUGUUAUUGACUAGAGAGAAUAGAGAGGGAACUGGGAUGCUUUAUUCAUUAGGUUAAAGCCAUAUAUAUAGGUUCAUACAAAGGAGGUUACAAGUAAACCCUAAUACAAGUUACACCUCCAUAACAUUGGGCCGG
rnacentral:lncRNA from 1 species